UCCCAAAUGUCUGCAGCGGCUGCAUCCUCCCCCGGGAGCGCCCGGCCUCUCCGGCUCCGGCAGCCCUGCCGGCCCAAGCGCGGCAUUUUUGCGGGAGGAAGCGGCGUUUCUGGCCGCGGCCCGCUGCCGUCGGGGGUCGGCGGGCGAGAGCAGGCGGAGACCGGGCCGCGGAGCCCGGCGCACACCGCCGCCGAGGCGCCCCGGCUCCUCCCGGCUGCCGGCGAGGGCCGCAGCCGGCGAGGGCCGCAGCCGGCGAGGGCCGCAGCCGGCGAGGGCCGCAGCCGAGGAAAUACCCGGGUUUCCCUAGCAACAGGUUUGCAGCCUGGCAUGACGGCGAGGGAAAGCAGGGGUUUCCCUCGCUGCGGCCGGCGCCGUUGAGCCGCGCCGCCGCCGCCAGCGGCGUCUCGGCGCGCUCCCGCCCCGGCGCGGCGCGGCCGGACGGGGGGAGCCGUGGGAAACCCUCGCCACCCCCAGGCACCUGCAGGGAGAGCCCAGGGACCCUCCCCAAAUCGGGAAGUGAAGGUUGGCAGAUCAGCAGCUUCAGUGAUGCUUUUUUCCCUCAUCAUCAACACGCCAGCGUUUACAGCCUGACCUGCUUGGGUGUCCAGCCUGUGUGCUCCAUCUUCGUGCCCGAGAUGUUUUCUGCAUGAUAUCCAUCCAGGGCAUGUGCGUAUGGAUGCAUGUGCAUUCAUCUCAGCUCAUUCUGCUGGGCGCAGACGCAGUAGGUCGGGCACAGAUUUGCUUUAAUGAGGCUAUGCGGCUCCUGGAUUGAAGCUGGCUCAUGCAUGGGCAGUGAGCUCAUGUCUGUCUGCCCAUGCCCAUGCAGACAGACAUCCCCGCAGUCCCAAGCGCUGUCCCCUCAGCAGGCUGCGGGUCCCCACCAGGGGCAGUGCCUCCAUCGCGCUCCCGGACUCGUGAUGAGGAACAGGCAGCUCGGGACUGGACAGCACUGGUGAUAUUUGUUGCUGGAUGAGGUCCGACUGAGGUGGGCAGGUUGAAGGAAAAUGUAGCAAUGUUGCCAGGCUCACUGUUUUAUGGCAAUGUGAUUACUCCUUUGCUACUGCUUCCCUUUCCUCUUUCCCUGAACCUAAGGCAUGGGCAAGGGCAAAGACAACAAUGGACAUCCUGGUACAUAUUAGAAGUGCUUUUAAAAUAUUGCCCUCACUUAAAAUUUGCAUAUCUGUUUUGUAAUAGUAAUGCUCUGGUAGUGCUUGCUGCUGGAGCUAUUUGUCAGAUAGUCUUUCCAUAAAACCUCUCAAGAAAGUGGGGCUGGUUGGUGACCUCAGGCACCGAUACAACAGUAGCAAAUAGGCCACAGCAUCACAGACAGAGACACAAAUUGACCUUGAGUAUCAAUUAACAGAAGACUUUAUUCACAAUUUUUUAAUUGCAGACAAAAGUUCUAGACUUCAGUGUGUCUUGGUGUUUCCUUUGUGUUGUGGUUACAGAAAAAAAAAGGGCACAAAGCUCCCUUUAUUUUUUUAAAAGCAGCAGUUUAUAAUUUUGUGGCCAGUGUGGUAUUUCCUGAUAAUGUAGAAACUCAAUUCAGGAAGGAAAUAAUGUGUUGCCUUGCAUUGUUCCCCCGAAUAAUUUGGAGAUGACUUGAUAAAAACAUUUCUAUCACACCCUCUGGUUAGUUAAGUGUAGUGUUAUGUUUCCAAAAAUAGAUAGUCUCCAAGCGUGUCUGAAAUCAGCAAUGUGGAGGUCAGUUCUCUGUCAUACAUAGCCUUGUCUGCAAUGGAUAUUCUGCCUUAAAAUUGUCACAGAUUUUUCCUCUGCCUUUUUCUUUAUCUCCCUGAUAAUUUUGCAUCAUCUACAAAGUAGAUGCAUGCUUGUAAUCAGAGACAGACAAGUUUGCAAGCAGAAAGUAGCCAGUGCUAACUGUUUGAUGCCAAGAAAAAAAAGUUAUGAGGUUUCAGAUAAGGGAAAUUAUCACUUUUAUCGCUUCUGGCAAAACUCCAUGGCUACCUUCCUGAAGGCAUGCAUCUACUAAAUAAUGAACCCAUAUCUCUCUAAACUCUCCACAGAAUCACCUCUUUGUCCUGUUUUCCAGUGACUUCUGAUGUUUUGGCUUUACCAGCCCUUUUAAUAUUAAAUAAGCCGGCAUUAUUGAUAUUAAAUAAGCCAGCUGACUGUGGGGAUCUAGUUGUGAAGAGAGUGGCCACCAAUUGCACAAAGCCUGGGAAGGAGCAUGCUGGUGGGAGCUGGGAAAUCAGAGCCCUUCCAAAAGGAGCAGGAUGCUCUGCCUUGCGCUUAGGCUCAGGCACAGACUUGGGUUACUCCUUCCCUCAAUCGGCAAGAAACUGCAGAGGCUUAAACACAAACUCAGAUGGCUGCUAAUAGGACUGUUCCAACCCUUCAUACAUUUCAAAAUCUACAUGCCAUAUUUCAGUCUUGGGCCUUCUGGGUGUUUAUGUCUAAUUAGGCUGGAGGGUCUCCAGUUUGAGAUUACCUAUGUUGCUUGGUGCCCAAUUUGUCUAUAUGACGUUGGCAGUAAAGCAGAUUACUGUGGGCUUAUGUGCAAGCAAAUUAGGGCCAGAUGUAAGCAUUCUUGUAAACCCUACUCCUGCUUUUUAACACUGAUUGAAUUCCACUGUCAUCCAGUUCUUUCUAUAUAAAAUGACAAGUGUGCUGAUUACAGUAUAUUAGUAACUAGGGAUACUCUGUAAGAUGUAAGGCUUUUAAGCGCUUCAUCUUUUCUUGCUUAUUGGUAGGGAGAAACCAUACUGCUUCAAGACUUUAAACUUUCCUGUUCUGGAAUGAAGUAAUGAAAAAGAGGAAUUGAACUAUACAUAGCACAGCAGUAAAUGUUUUGAAUUUGUUUAGGUUUUCUUAAGAGCAUAGACCUGAAUGGAGAAAACUGCAAUGCCUAGCAUAUGAACUGAUUUUUAGCACUGUGAAGUAAUAUUUCAUUGGUUAGGGCUGCUGUUUACUACUACUUUAGAAAAAGUCCCUGUACGUUAUAGGGGAAAUAUGGAAAGACCACUGUAUCAGUCGCCUCAGCCCUCACUGAAUAAAGAAACAAAGAUCUUAAUUCUCCAGGCUGUUGUUCCUGUGACCUUUUUAACGAAUGCUGGAUGUGCUCUUAGAAUGUUGCGUUGGUUUGGUCAAGCCAAAACUUGAAGUUUAAUCCCAGUUCCACUGAACUACAUGACAAUUUUUAUUGAAGAAUGGUUUCAUCUUGGAUGUCGUAAGAGCUGGGUGCAUAUUCAAAAGCAGAAGGCACCCUAAAUGGACCUUAAAAAUAUUUUAAAAACAUUAAAAUGUGACUGGAGAAAGGCUAGAAGGCAGGGAUGAAAACCAAAUACUAAAGUACUCUUCUAAAUGAAUAAGCCAGUUUUUCAGAAUGAUAGCAACUAUCUACAAAUCUCCCAGUACUUGGCAUCCAGCACUCUUACAUAACUGAAUGUAGAUUUUAAGUGCCUAACUUUAGACACUGGCAGAUGAAUAUUUUAGAUUAAUAACUACAGAGAUAUUGCACUCCAGAAACAUCAGAUCUGACAAUUAUAAUUUCUGAGUAUUAGAAUUGCUUUUCAGAAAUACUGUCUUUGAAAACAAAAUUCUUCAUGACCUCAUUAGGAGGACCUAAGAAUAAGCAUCUAUGACAUCCAAUCUCCUGUUUAAAUAUAGAUCUUACGAGUCCUUACCUCAGGUCUCCCCUAUGACAACUCUACAGAAAUGUUCUGACAGUGAGAUGGUGAGGAGCAGUGUAUAUGAAAAGUACCUUCUACCUGUCAGGCUACCAGAUUUUUGCCUGUGAUUGCACAGUUGAUAGAGUCACUUUUCUUCCUUUGAAGGAAAAAGAUUACAGGUGAAACAUUGAUACCUAAUUCUCAGAGUUAGAUCAUACAGCAUUAAUUAAACAGUUUCAUAUUUUAGAAUGCUCUAAAAAGAUCAGCAUGUCCUGUUUGUAGGCCUUGGAUCCACAGUAAACUCAUUAUUCCUGACAUUGCACAUAUUAUGGAAAAGAAAAAAGACUGCCUGAAUGUCAAACAGUGACAAACGUGUACCUCCAACAGAAAUGUCAUGCAGCCACCCUGUAUUAAAGGAAUUUUCUGCCUCUGUGAAGUGCUGAAAUAGCUGGGACAGGCAAUCACGUUUGAAAUCUCUCUGCUUUCAUCUCUGCAACAUGGAGAAGUAACAGGCGAGCAGGCGCUGGGUGCUUGCAAGAGCAGCCACAUAGGCUUGGUCCUGAAUUCUUGGAAGUGAGUGCAUCCAUCUCACUGAGGCCCCCAUGGCCUCUCUCUUCUCAGUUCCCCUACCUCCCCAGGACAGGGGGAGGCAUGACCUUGAAAUCUGCACCUGAACUUCAUAGCUUCAGCCUAGACCUAUUUACAAAUACAGUAGCACAUUCUGAGGUAUCAUAUGUUCAUUCAUUUUCAUAGAAAUCACCGUGACUGCUUAAAAAUGCAGCGUGCCUUCACAAGAAGCUGAGCCACUUUUCAUCAGAAAACUAAUACUUUAAAACACCAUUUUUAUCCAAGAACAUCCCAGAGAUCAACAUGAAUCUGCAAGUGCUAACCUUGGAAAGGAAUCUGUUUUUAUGCUUGGCUCUGAAGGAGGAAGCACAGGUGUCCCUGUGUCAGAGAGCAAACUUUGGAGACCUCAGAAACUACAUGCCUAAGUCCAUCCAGUCUUUUCUGAAGUAGUUUCCUGUUAUAGUAAAUGGUUUCAGAAAUAUUUUUAAGUAAAUCAGACGUGUGUUUCUCAGUGUUUCAAAGGAGACUUUGAAUGCCCUAAUAAGUUAGGAAGGUAGUAGCCUCAUUUAUCAAAAAGAUAACAAGGGAAACACAGAUGACAGAAUUAUCAACAUUUUUCAGGGAGAAAGCUUAUGACAGGGAGAAGUAGUGUAGUGCCAUGGGUUAGUGGCUUGUCUUUUAGUCUCAGAAGACUAGCUUGAAUUCUAAGACAUCAUUUGGGGAAAAAUAUUCCUAGAGACCCAGUCUGGACUCAGUGUGAUGUUACAGAUGAAAUGCAAGUGGCAUUUUAGGCUCUGUGGCCUAAAAGGACCAUGUGGCUUGGGUAUAUCUACUUUUUUUUCAGCUCUUUCUGAAGUGGUUGUAACUGCAGCUUGGCUGUCAUGUUCUUCCUUUAAUUGGAAGCUGGCCAAGAGGAGGAUUGGCAAGCCUGUUUUUUGGAAGCCUGGACAUUAUCUUGCUACUUUGGGGCCUCUGCAGUAUUAAUAAACUACGAAUAAGCUUCCUGGCAUUUCUUUAACCACAUUAUGGUUAAAGAACAAUCAGUUUAAGCCUUCAGAGAAUAGCUAUUGCAGAAGAACAGAAAGCACAGCCCAUGGAAAUCUAGUAAAUGACUCCUUUGCUAAAGCAAAAAGGCUCAUUGGAUUCCUCCAUGGCAAAAAGUCCAGGGAAAUGGUAUCAAUAAUAAACUACCAUUAAUAAAUAAAACCCUUCCACUGUAAAAUCUUUCACACACUGGUUAAGAACCUCUUUUGCUCACUUGAUCUGCAUAUGAUAUUCAUAGACUUUUGUGUCUCAAUCUUGAAUUUAUAUUUAGGGAUCUUAUCUUGAAAAUGUCAUAUGAACUGUCAUAGAUAGUGUGUAUCUCAGCUGGCAAGUGCCAAGAAAAUAUGCUUAGGUUUACCUGGGAUCUUGUUAACUUUCCUUGGAGAGGGGACCAUGGGCAAAAUGGCUCUGCGGUAUAUACCGAGAACCAUUAAAAAAACAUGUUCUAUGGAAAAAAAAUGCUACAGGAUGACCCAGGAGUCCAUCUGGUCCAUGCUCACACCCUGUGAGGAGCUGAGUGGCAUGGCCACAGUUAAGGCUGUGACAGCAAGAGGCCCCAUCUCUGCAGUGAGCCUUUUGAUCAGCAGCAGGGUUUGAAGCACUGUUACUGUGAGGUGGAACCGGACAAUUAGGCUCAGAUUUCAGGUGAAUUUUUCAGCAGCAAAGAUGGGAACUCUGGAGGACGCAUAUGAGGCUUUUCCUUUAUGGUGUAGCUCUGUAUUCAGUAUCAUGAUUUAUCCUUUCAGCCUACUAAAAGUGAAAGUAAUGAAGCUGACCUGCUUUGCAAAGGGCUUUGAAAUGACAUGCCCGGAGCACCAGGACUGGUAUCUUUUCUGAAUCCCAAGCUGCUGUUAUAUCCACUAGACCGUGCUGAUGGCACCACUGAAUACAAAAGUUGGGAAGUACCCAAGUGAAAAUGCAUAAACAAAUUUCAGGUCACACUCUAGGAAUAUAUUAAGAAUGCUUUUCAAAACUCUGAUGAUAAAUUCUUUCUCAAAUAGAAUAUUUUUGCAUUUAUAAAAAUUUAAACAGAAAAUCUGACUGUCCGUGCUUGUGUUUAAAAACAAAUUUACAAUUUUUUUCCCAUGACCAUAAAUAUGCUUGCAUUUUUUUCCUGUUCCAGGUGCUGCAUUGAAAGCCUACCCUUUGUUCAUUAAUUAUAUGUUAAAUUCCUGCCUUCAGCUUAGCUGUGGUAUCAGCCAUGCACAGGCUGUAUUCUCCAACAGUUGCAGUAACACUUUACUUAGGAGGAGCUGUUUGUAACAUCAGCAAAACUAUCACUCUUCUCUCUGAAAGGUUUCCUUAAAGUGCCCCUUUCUCUGCAAUAUUUGGCACCAAUUAAAUUUCUUGUAUAUACCAGUCACUUCCCAGCAUGCUUAGAAAGAAAUUGCAGUUGCUUUCUUUUACUCUUCCACCCAUUUGUGGUGAGCUGUGGUCUCCUGUUUUACAGUUGGAUUGGAGGUGCAUCUGAUAAAGGGCUGUCUAUUAUUUAAAUAAGACUUAGCAUAGCAAAGUCUUCGCUGUGUGUCCAGGACUGAAAUCUUUAAGUGUUCGAGUCUACAAAUUACCAUCUUGAUCUUUUUUUGUCUUGCUCUGUCUUGCUGAAAGAAUGAAUGUGUCUGUCCCAGGCUGUAGUCAGGACCAUCUGUUUCCUCCCUGAAAAUACAAGAGUGUUUUCACUGUUCCUGCUGUACAUAUCUAUAUUCCAGUGACCUGCCUGAUGGUAGACAUUACAAGCUCAUCUGAGGAGACUUCUGUUCAACUGCUUAACAUCUCUGGUCUGAAGAUACUGGUUAUUAAAGAGUCUGCAUUAAAGAUAUUGACUUAGAUUAUCCUUCUGUUGGUUUACUAGUGAGGUUUGGAAAUCUAAUUGUUGAAGCAGUUGAAUCUCUGUAAUCACUGGUAUCUCUCCAAAGACAUCGGUUAGAAGUGGCACUUAAUGAAUAUUUAUCAUUAACAGUUCUCUUAAAUAUUAUCCCAUUUCAUUAACACCAAGCUUAAUUAGAACCCCAGAAAGGACAGUCUAAUCUCUGAUUAGCUGUUUGAAUAACUGCACCAAUCUGCCACAACAUAAAUCAAGGUUGUAGCAGGAUAAUUCAACAACCUUGUCUUGUUGGUUUAAUGAUUAAACAUCUGCUGUGUUGAAGAGAGGAAAAUGUUUCAUCUUAUACUUGCAGCUCACCCAACAGCUAGAAACCGAGCAUGUUGACUAUCAGUGACUAAUAGCUUAAAGUCCUGUUUCUGUGGCACAUUGCAGUUGGCAAGAGUGGAUUCUUUCCUCUUUGAGGUUCCAGAGAAGAAUAUGAUCCUUCCUGCAAAAAAAGAGCCAAAGUAAUUUUCUUCUCCACUUAUUAUUCUAAACUGUAUGUAUGCAGAUAUACACCUCAUAUAAACUUAGAAAUGCUAUUUUAAGUUUAAACUUAGAAGUUAAUACAAGAUAUAUUUUAGAACUAAUACUAUCAAAGACACAAAAUUGUUCAGAGUUAUGAUUUGUUAUGUUAAAUCUCAAUCAAAUCCAGGCAAAACUUGUAUUCUCUUUACUAUCAGACCAGAGUGUACAAUGUAAUCAACAUUGUAUGCUGCUGCCGUACCUAAAUCACACUGGUAAUGUACGUUACGUCUACACAGCAGUAUAAACCCUGCCAGAUUCUCCUACUUGUGCACCUCUUUUCCCCUGCUUCUGCAUGCAGCACAUGGCUAGGUGUUUUGGAGGAGCUGUCUGUCUGUCUGUCCUUGGCUGGCAGCCCCAUCUGUGCCUACUGCAGAUUUGACUUGUGAAUGACCAGUCUCAGUUCAAACAGAAAUCCAUGCCAAUGGCAUAGACAUACAUGCCAAGCGAGAAGUACUAUUUAGGAGUUUUCUGUUAGGUGUCUUGAACCUAGCUGUAGAUGCCUAUCAGCUAUAAAUCUAUCCAUCUGGUAUGAGCAGAAGCUAUUAAUGGAUGACUCCUAAACACAAGCACUGAGAGGAUUAGCAAGAUGUACAGUAUGUGAUACUCUGCCCUUUCCACAAACGUCAGGGUGACAUUGGCAAAGAACUCCAAUGAGGUCAUAAAAAUAUUCUUUCUUUCCAAGCUUUAAAGAUCAGCACUAUUUGUCAUGGAGUGACAUGGCUUGAAAGUUGAAAUUCUGUUCCCACAAUUGUAUUUCAGAAGGGUUCAUGAAUCUUGACAGACUUAUGAGUGAUUAUAAGCAGCUAAGUGAAAACAAUAAGGCUGUGAUAGCUGUAGGGCAUGGCUGGGCUCCACCUUCAAUGCCUCCAGGCUGCUGAAGCUUUGCGUGGCUGGUAGCUACGUCAGUGCAGAGCUGCAGAAGGAGCUGAGGCAGACACAGCUGUGUCAGUCACACUACAGCACACUUGAGCUUCAUUUCCAGCUAUUCCUCAGUUGCUCAGACACUUUCUCUUAAGAAAUGUGUUAAAUAAAGUUUGCAUGUAUUAUUUAAGGAGGCUGCACUGUGUCUUCCCAUAAUGCAAGCUCAUGUCUAAGAACAUGCUGGCUGUCAUUGCUUUAACCCCAACCCACUCUCUUAGUUCAGGGAGGCAUAUGUUGCCAGCUUAAGGCUGGCUCAGAGAGAAGGAAAUACAGAUGGGUCCAUGUGUACGUGUGUUCAUAUAUGUGUUUAUAGCUGAAUGUUGUAUUAACAUGAAUAUAAUUAACUGAGGUUAGGAUAAUUCCUGGAGAUGUUGUCUAAAUCUGAAGGUCUUACUUGGCUAAGGGGAGAAAAACUUAUCAGGAGAUGAAUUUUCUUGAUGGCAAGACUUUACUUUUUAAUUCAUGAAGAGAUGAUACAGGAAGGGGGAAAUAGGAUAUAAAAAAGAAAAGUGGUGAAGUUCUUGAUUGUGGUAAUCGAGGAUAGAUUGAUGAAGAGGAGAAAUUGCUUAUAAUUUACUGCCCACUUACAAAUUAUGGGGGGGGAGGAAAUAACCAUUUUGCACAACCUGGUAUGAUAAAGGCCCUUUUCCCUCUAUAAAUAACUAAAAAUCUAAUGCUGUUUUGUAAUUCCAUGUAACUGAAUCAAAAUCAGUAAAACAUUUUGCCUCUUUUUUUAAGUUCAAUUGCCUUUGGGUAGGAAAUGUUUCCUAAUGUCUCCCAAACUCUUCAGUAGUGUUUCUAUGAAUAUAUGAAGACCUACUUUGCACAAUGGAAUACCGUAGUCUAAAACCUGUAUUUUAGAAUGAUGCUGUCAGAUAAAUUUAAUUAUAAGGCAUGACAAGCUAAAUAGUUAAUUGCAUUGAAAAAGCUUUAAGUUUGAAGAUUAUUAUAAUAUUAAAUUGCAUGUGUAUAUUUUUAAAGGAAAUAAUGUAUUGAUUUAUAGAACAUUGAAAAGAUUUUAAUUCUCUAAAAAACAUUUCUGGAAAUGUAUUACCUAUGGCUAAAGACCUGUUUAUGUACAAAAUCUUUCCUAUCCCAUACAUAUUAAAUGCAGUGUGCUCUGUCUAUAAA